AGCCACUCCUCCAAUCCUGAGCAUGAGCAUCUUAGAAGAAAAUGGUCUUCCUGAGCCUCGCCCGCAGGAGGUUAGUGGUGGGAGAUGAAGGGACGAGUCACCUAAAGCUCUAGAGCACAUCCUUUCUUUCCUCUCCCAUCCAGUCUUGCUCUUUCUAAACCAGGUGAGAGAUGAGCUGAAGCAACUAGACACCAAAUGUGAGUGAUGAGUGAAACGGUGUGCUGCCCUCCCACCUGCCACUCCUUUACCCCUCCAGUACGAUCGCCUUUAACCUGGGUCUGUUCUUCUCACAGAGACUGGCCAAUGGUGGACACAAAAGAGACGCCAUGUGGGGAGGAAUGUUCCGGCAAGUGGAGGCUCUGCAGGCCAGGAAUGCAACUGGAAUGAAGCGCUUUCUGAUCUCCAUUACUGGCAUACAUGAAACAUCUGGUCACUGAUCCAGUUAUUAUGGCAUUGAACUUUUCACCCGACAUUGGAUCUGUAAGAAGCCACAGAUCUGCUGAGCUGCUUUCCCCUCUAUCCUCAGUUUAUCCUGGGGUGCAAUCUCAUUAACCACCCCCAGCUUCUCUCCAGGAAAGAAGUCUCCCUCAGCACCAGUCCUCCUGUGCCUGUCUUUUCUUCUUAAAUUCUGCAGAGACACAUAAAAUGAUACUGGGGUAAGACAGCAAGCACAUAUGACUUAGAGAACUUCUCACAGGAGAAAAAUAACACAGUUGGUUCAGAAAAUAAAUGGUAUAAACAAGAUUGUGUGUGUGUGUGACUAUUAUAGAGUAAAAUUGUC
rnacentral:lncRNA from 1 species